UACAGAGGUCUCAAGCGUUGUUCGGAUUCAUUGGGCGUAAAGCGCGCGUAGGCGGGAAAUUAAGUGAGAAGUGAAAGGCUGGGGCUCAACCUCAUGCAGUGCUUCUCAUACUGGUUUUCUUGAGGGCGGUAGAGAAAAGUGGAAUGGCUGGUGUAGCGGUGAAAUGCGUAGAUAUCAGUCGGAACACCGGUGGCGAAGGCGGCUUUUUGGGCCGUUCCUGACGCUGAGGCGCGAAAGCCAGGGGAGCGAACGGG
rnacentral:rRNA from 1 species